GUGAGGAAUAUUGGUCAAUGGACGCAAGUCUGAACCAGCCAUGCCGCGUGCAGGACGAAGGCCCUACGGGUUGUAAACUGCUUUUGUAAGGGAAGAAAACUAAGUACGUGUACUUAUUUGCCAGUACUUUACGAAUAAGGAUCGGCUAACUCCGUGCCAGCAGCCGCGGUAAUACGGAGGAUCCAAGCGUUAUCCGGAUUUAUUAGGUUUAAAGGGUUCGUAGGCGGGAGAUUAAGUCAGUGGUGAAAUUUUGCGGCUCAACCGUAAAACUGCCAUUGAUACUGGUUUUCUUGAGUAUAGUUGAGGUAGGCGGAAUGUAACAUGUAGCGGUGAAAUGCAUAGAUAUGUUACAGAACACCGAUUGCGAAGGCAGCUUACUAAACUAUCACUGACGCUGAGGAACGAAAGCGUGGGGAGCAAACAGGAUUAGAAACCCGAGUAGUCC
rnacentral:rRNA from 1 species